rnacentral:rRNA from 1 species
UACGGAGGGGGCUAGCGUUGUUCGGAAUUACUGGGCGUAAAGCGUACGUAGGCGGCUUUGUAAGUUAGAGGUGAAAGCCCGGGGCUCAACCCCGGAAUUGCCUUUAAGACUGCAUCGCUUGAAUCGCGGAGAGGUGAGUGGAAUUCCGAGUGUAGAGGUGAAAUUCGUAGAUAUUCGGAAGAACACCAGUGGCGAAGGCGGCUCACUGGACGCGAUUAACGCUGAGGUACGAAAGCGUGGGGAGCAAACAGG